rnacentral:rRNA from 1 species
UUGAAAGGGAAACGAUUGAAGUCAGUCGUACCUGCGGGUAAUCAGCCUUUUGGGCAUGAUUCUGUGGAGCGUGAGGAGUUAAACGCCUUCAUGCCUGCAUAUUCGUGUACUUUGGGUGUACUUGCCCGUGUGGUUAGUUAACAUCAAUUUUGGUUAUCAUAAAAUGGUUGGAGGAAUGUAGCUUCGAUUUCGAUUGAAGUGUUAUAGCCUUCGGCAGAUGUGAUGAUCGGGAUUGAGGAUUGCAACGGAUACCCUUCGGGGCUACCUGUCUGGUCUCUGAUCGUUGCUCUGGUGCCGAAAGCGUGCUUACGGUUAUCAAAGUCGAUGGUCAAUAGGUUAGAACGGGUUAAAUUCGUUAAGGAUGUUGACGUA